GGUUUAGUCUCCAGACUUAUCAUUUUUGUUGAUCUUCUCUGCACUUUUUCAAUCUUAUUUUACAGAUCUCAAGAAAUGUGCUUCUUGUACUGAUGUAUCUGAUUGUAGAACCUAUCUCUCCUUCCCAAGAAUCAGAUCAUGACCCUGUCAGUUUUUAGAAAGGCCCUGAAAUCCCAUCUCCUUCAAAUUAUUGCUAACGAAGACCACUUAAAGAUUUUUGAAGUACAAAUGUCUGAGGUGAAGCUUAGUUUUCUUUCCUUUUUUGAGUCAGAAAAAUAUGAAAAGACAGAUUAUUUGAACUGUGGAUAUCUAUUCAGUCUUCAUCCUACAAAAGAUUGGUGUGGUAGAGAAAGCAAAGAACAGAGUUUCAAACUAUCAAAAGACUAGCCUGUCUACUAUGUGCUCAAUGAUUUCUGAUAGGUAAAAACCAGCAAUGGCUGACAACUAUGGCCACAAUUACCAGCAAUUUUGUCACAAAAGAAGAAUAAUACAACAAGCAGUGCUCUUCACCCCUUGUGAUAGCAGUAUUGCAACAAGGCUCCAAAUAAUCAGAAGAGUGGAGGAAACAAAUACAGACAUUCAUUGAAUAAUCCACAGUUCUCUGAACUGUGCGAGAGAAUGGAAAGACUCAGAAAGAAUAUCAUUCAUACAAUGAAAUUGCAUGCAAGUCAGCGUUGCACAACUGGAUGGAUUUUAUUUGUGGUUUUUUUUUAACUGUGUAUAUAUAUGUGUGAGAAAGGAAUUAAAAUAUCAUUUGUGCCA